rnacentral:rRNA from 1 species
UCCUGAGGUGCUCGAGUGAUCCGUGGCUAAGGAACUAGGCAAAAUGGCCCUGUAACUUCGGGAGAAGGGGCGCUUCCUCAUGCUUGCAUGAGAAGCCGCAGUGAAUAGGCCCAGGCGACUGUUUAGCAAAAACACAUGGCUUUGCGAAAUCGAAAGAUAAAGUAUAAGGCCUGACACCUGCCCGGUGCUGGAAGGUUAAG